rnacentral:misc_RNA from 1 species
GAUGAAGAACGUAGCGAAAUGCGAUAAGUAAUGUGAAUUGCAGAAUUCCGUGAAUCAUCGAAUCUUUGAACGCACAUUGCGCCCCCUGGUAUUCCGGGGGGCAUGCCUGUCCGAGCGUCAUUGCAACCUUCAAGCGCGGCUUGUGUGUGGGUCUCGUCCCCCGUGGACGGGCCCGAAAGGCAGUGGCGGCGUCCCGACAUGGUGCCCGAGCGUAUGGGAAUCCUCUUCCGCUCGAAUCGGCCCAUGCGGCGCUGGUCGUAACCAAAUUUUUUACCGGUUGACCUCGGAUCAGGUAGGGAUACCCGCUGAACUUAAGCAUAUCAAUAAGCGGAGGA